rnacentral:lncRNA from 1 species
AUGAUAGAAGGGACGUUUAAAAAUUGUUUUAAAUGUUUAUUUAUUUUUGAGAGAGAGAGAGUGCAAGUGGGGGAGGGGCAGAGAGCGAGAAGGAGACACAGAAUCCGAAGCAGGCUCCAGGCUCCGAGCCGUCAGCACAGAGCCCGACGCGGGGCUCGAACCCACGGACCGCGAGAUCAUGACCUGAGCCGAAGUCGGCCGCUCAACCGACGGAGCCACCCAGGCGCCCCGAGAGUUUUUAGUCUAAGCACCCACCCAAUGCUUGGAUUCCUUUUACUGUGGUUUUGUGAAGCGAUCUUUCAUCUGCUCUCGGCUUGCGUUCUUCCAGCGACGGGGUGCUCGCCCCCUCCCCCAGCAGCAGCGCCUUCCAACGUCACGCAUUUCUUUCCCUUGUUGUUCUGCAGCCUUCUGUCCCCCAGCUUCAGCUCACAGAUCUUUGUGUGCACCCCCUCAGGCUCAGCGGGCUUCUACUCCUUCUCCCCAUGCGUAGCCCUUCAGCCCUGCACUCAGUCUGGUUUUCAUCGCUUCCCUCCAUCGGUCCACAGAUGUUUUCUGUGGGCCUCCCACUGCCAGGCAGCGAAAGCCCUCUGGGGAACCUCCCCGAACCUCCCGGCGCCUUCGUCCUCCCCUUCCCUGGAAGCCACCACUCCACUACUCCACUCUCCGACCUUCUCGGAGAUUCUGAGGGACGAGCUUGCCAAGUUAAGGCCGGGUCAGGGUCGGGCCGCCUUCCAGGUUCCCUUGCCACGGUGUCCUGGAGGCAUCACUGUCCUCCUUGUGCGGAGGAGGAAACUGAGGCUCGCCGGCUCCCUGCGCGGCCGGAGGCCAAGGCACCGCGGCUCCACGCCAGGUCUUGGCUGCGAGCCUCUGGCUGUUUCUGUGGCCUCGCACUGUCAAGGCGGGGACGGGCUUCUCACUACUCAGAACCCCCUUGUGCCUCUCUCUGGGUUCUUGCAUGGCUCCGGGGGCUGGAGAAUGUGGCCGGGGGCUUGGCGUCCAGGAGCCCUAGGUUUUCCAAGAGCUUCUGAUCCUAAAUGUGCAGCUUCACGCCCAGCCCUGGUAUGGGAACUUGUGACGCGGUGUGUGUUCUGCGAACUCUUGUCACCUCCUUAUAGCUCCUUCAGCCGAUGA